rnacentral:misc_RNA from 1 species
UAAAUAAAAUUUCAUUGUAAUGUCAUACUAUUUCAAUAGUACGAUUGUUGAUGACCAAGUGACUUCUUUUUCGGUUAUAGUUCUAACAAAUAAAAAGUAAAAAAAUGGCUCUUGGAUUCAUACUUAUUACUGGAUUGUUAGCUUUUGGUGCUUAUUGGACGACAAAGUACCUAAUGAAUAUGCCUGAAGCAACUAUACUUGUUACAAAUUCAACCAGUACGAUGAUGCCGGCAAAAUUGUAGCGAUAUUGACUUCAUAAAUGACGUUAUAACGUGCAUAGCUACUAUAAAGUUUGUAUGAGACAAAGGACAAUGUAGGUAACUUAAGUAUUGUAAAAAUGUUGGAACCAUUUAUUAUAUGACUUCAACCACUUCAAAUGUAAUUAUUUUGUAUUUUAGCCCUAUAAAAUGGUUGUCAAAAAGUUGUAAAAUAAUUAAUUUGUAUAAAGAAAUUAUAAUAUUAUUAACAUAAAUUAUUA